CGGGACGCAAGGAUUCAGGGAGCUUCCUUUCCUGGCUGCGAGGGAUCUUCCUGAGCAGAGCUCUCCGAGUUCCCCGGCUCGCGUGGGCCGGCGAAGGGCAGAUCCAUUGUCAUGACUUCUGAGCUGUUUGAAAGAGAAUGUUCCCAGAAUCAAGAUGUGCCAGUAAACAUGAAUUGGUUGGAUUUGACUUCUCAAUGAUACACAAUGAUUCUCUACCUUGACUAACACCACAGAGGAUGCAAUAGAAACUUCUGAGAUUUAGAUGAUAAAUAUAAAAAGUUGAAGCUUAGGGGAGCCCAAGCCAGGAAGCUGGAGACACUGUGGCAGAAAGUGAAAGAGGAAGAAGCCAUUCGACGUCUGUUUUUAAAAAUGUGUUCUGU
rnacentral:sRNA from 1 species